rnacentral:tRNA from 1 species
UAAAAAGAUAAGCUAAUAAAGCUAUUGGGUUCAUACCUCAACCAUAAAGGUCCUACCCCUUUUCUUUUU